CCGCAUAUCCUGUAUCCACGUUGAGUAGGUGCUCUCACCUAAGCAUUUUUUUUUUUUCGACGCAAUUUCAGCGUUGGAGCACAUGUGCAGGUUGGAUUAUACAUGGCUUGACGACUAAUUUAGCAAGUUUUAUGAAAACGAGGUACUUCCAGUCAGAAAAAUCACAAAUGUGUCCAGAACUGCUGAACGGCAUAUACGAUAUGGCUGAAUGCAGCUGCGGCGCUUUCAAGGCAACAAACUCAUCGAUCGAAGAGAGAGAGGCGUUGGACAUAAAAGUUGUGUACGCAUCCACUUUCCAGAAUACGCUCCAGUUUCUUUCUUACUCUUGAAUCCCACUAACUCGGAGAACCAAGCGCCAUUUUUGCUCGUAGAUCCAUCGCAAAAGCAACAGAACGAUUAUUUACAAUAACAUGGUGUCCAAAGGAAUCAAGUUCCUUCGCACGAAUGUGCAUCUAUGUUCUUGGCGUAACCCGUUGAUCUCCCAACAGACAUAUGUGGUAACGAGGGCGAGCACCAUGUCAUUAGUUUGACAACACAAACAGCGUAUUUUCUAAACGUAUCGAUUAAAAGUUUGAUGUACUACACCGUAUCCUUCGCAGUAACUGGCAAAGUUUUCGUUUAUUUGUUUUACCUACAGGAGGAUUUUGAAUUUACAGAAAAACUCGUGAAACUCAGAACAAGGAAAAAAAAUAAUAAGACGAAUACUCUGAAACGGAUCCAACUUUUUUCUGUAUGAGUGCAUCUGAGUCAGCUGCUAUUAUUAAUGGCUUCUACUUUUUUAUUAUUCAUGAACACUGCGAAUCUAGUAUUCGUCCCUUGGCAGCAUAUACCUAUAACCUCGCUGUUACCGACGUCAACUAAGGCUGUAAAGUCGCAGAACAGAGAAAAAAAAGUGCAUCACAAAACCAUGUCUUUUGCUCUGUCAAUAAAAUGAAAUCUUCUUCAAAGGAA